rnacentral:rRNA from 1 species
AUUGAACGCUGGCGGCAGGCCUAACACAUGCAAGUCGAGCGAGCGGCGGACGGGUGAGUAAUGUAUGGGGACUGCCCGAUAGAGGGGGAUAACUACUGGAAACGGUGGCUAAUACCGCAUACUAUCGGAUAACCCAUAUGGGAUUAGCUAGUAGGUAAGGUAAUGGCUUACCUAGGCGACGAUCCCUAGCUGGUCUGAUAGGAUGAACAGCCACACUGGGACUGAUACACGGCCCAUAAUCCUACGGAGGCACCAGUGGGGAAUAUUGCAGAAGGGGCGCAAGCCUGAUGCAGACAUGCCGCGUGUAUGAAGAAGGCCCUAGAGUUGUAAAGUACGUUCAGUCGGGAGGCGUUACCGACAGAAGAAGCACCGGCUAACUCCGUGCCAGCAGCCGCGGUAAUAC